rnacentral:rRNA from 1 species
GAUCAUGGCUCAGGAUGAACGCUAGCUACAGGCUUAACACAUGCAAGUCGAGGGGCAGCGCAGUGUAGCAAUACAUGGGCGGCGACCGGCGCACGGGUGCGUAACGCGUAUCCAACCUUCCCGUUACUCAGGGAUAGCCUUCCGAAAGGGAGAUUAAUACCUGAUGGUGUUCAAAUUCCGCAUGUUAUUUGAACUAAAGAUUCAUCGGUAACGGAUGGGGAUGCGUGACAUUAGGUAGAUGGCGGGGUAACGGCCCACCAUGCCCACGAUGUCUAGGGGUUCUGAGAGGAAGGUCCCCCACACUGGAACUGAGACACGGUCCAGACUCCUACGGGAGGCAGCAGUGAGGAAUAUUGGUCAAUGGCCGGAAGGCUGAACCAGCCAAGUAGCGUGAAGGAUGAAGGUUCUAUGGAUUGUAAACUUCUUUUAUACGGGAAUAAAACCGCCUACGUGUAGGUGCUUGUAUGUACCGUAUGAAUAAGCAUCGGCUAACUCCGUG